GAGUUACCACGAGUUACCACUUAAAAAUUUAGAAAAAUAAAUAAUUAUUUUUUUCUAAUUUUUUUAGUGGUAACUCGUGGUAACUC
rnacentral:miRNA from 1 species